UAUUGCACAAUGGGCGCAAGCCUGAUGCAGCAACGCCGCGUGCCCGAGGACGGCCUUCGGGUUGUAAAGGGCUUUUCUGGCUGACGAGGAAGGACGGUACCAGAGGAAUAAGCACCGGCUAACUCUGUGCCAGCAGCCGCGGUAAUACGGAGGGUGCGAGCGUUAUCCGGAUUUACUGGGUUUAAAGGGUGCGUAGGCGGGCUAUUAAGUCAGAGGUGAAAUCUCCGGGCUCAACCUGGAAACUGCCUUUGAUACUAUUAGCCUUGAAUUAUGUUGAGGUUGGCGGAAUAUAACAUGUAGCGGUGAAAUGCUUAGAUAUGUUAUGGAACACCGAUUGCGAAGGCAGCUGGCUAAACAUACAUUGACGCUGAUGCACGAAAGCGUGGGUAGCGAACAGG
rnacentral:rRNA from 1 species